AUUAGUGGGGCUCAGCAGUUAAGAGCACUACCUGCUAUUCCUGAGGAUCUGGGUUCAAUUCCCAGCACUCACA
rnacentral:tRNA from 1 species